UACGAGGGGGGCAAGCGUUGUUCGGAAUUAUUGGGCGUAAAGGGCGCGUAGGCGGUGCGGUAAGUCUGUAGUGAAAUCUCUGGGCUCAACUCAGAGUCUGCUGCAGAAACUGCCGUGCUUGAGUGUGGGAGAGGUGAGUGGAAUUCCCGGUGUAGCGGUGAAAUUCGUAGAUAUUGGGAAGAACACCGGUGGCGAAGGCGGCGACCUGGUCCUUUUACUGACGCUGAGGCGCGAAAGCGUGGGGAGCAAACAGG
rnacentral:rRNA from 1 species